rnacentral:rRNA from 1 species
UACGUAGGGGGCUAGCGUUGUCCGGAAUCAUUGGGCGUAAAGGGCGCGUAGGCGGCGGGGUAAGUCGGGUGUGAAAUCUCAGAGCUCAACUCUGAAACUGCACUCGAUACUGCUUUGCUAGAGGACUGGAGAGGAGAUUGGAAUUCACGGUGUAGCAGUGAAAUGCGUAGAGAUCGUGAGGAAGACCAGUGGCGAAGGCGGAUCUCUGGACAGUUCCUGACGCUGAGGCGCGAAGGCCAGGGGAGCAAACGGG